UCGGAUGUGGUGCAUGGUGCACACCCGCUUGUGAUACGAGAAUACUAUCCAAGGGCAAUAAUGCGGGAAACCCGGGUUCAACUCCCGGUGUCCGAA